rnacentral:rRNA from 1 species
CCUACGGGGGGCAGCAGUGAGGAAUAUUGGUCAAUGGACGAGAGUCUGAACCAGCCAAGUAGCGUGAAGGAUGACUGCCCUAUGGGUUGUAAACUUCUUUUAUAUGGGAAUAAAAUGUUCCACGUGUGGGAUUUUGUAUGUACCAUAUGAAUAAGGAUCGGCUAACUCCGUGCCAGCAGCCGCGGUAAUACGGAGGAUCCGAGCGUUAUCCGGAUUUAUUGGGUUUAAAGGGAGCGUAGGUGGAUUGUUAAGUCAGUUGUGAAAGUUUGCGGCUCAACCGUAAAAUUGCAGUUGAAACUGGCAGUCGUGAGUACAGUAGAGGUGGGCGGAAGUCGUGGUGUAGCGGUGAAAUGCUUAGAUAUCACGAAGAACUCCGAUUGCGAAGGCAGCUCACUGGACUGCAACUGACACUGAGGCUCGAAAGUGUGGGUAUCAAACAGGAUUAGAUACCCCUGUAGUC